CUGCCAGUGCGCAUACGCUCUUUUUAAAGAUUAAGCCAUGCACGUGCCAAGUACAUACAUGUUAAAUGUGAGACUGCGGACGGCUCAGUAAAUCAGUUAUAAUCUGCUCGAUUGUUAAAGGUUAUUGGAUAACCGUGGGAAAUCUAGAGCUAAUACAUGCAAUUUAGGGUGCGGAUUCGUUCGUUACCCAUGGCAUUUAUUAGAUGUAUACCAACCACAACUUAUGUUGUGUGGUGAAUCUAGAUAACUGUGCAGAUCGUAUGGCCUUGAGCUGACGACAUUUCGAUUGAAUUUCUGCCCUAUCAACUUUUGUCGGUAGUGUAGUGGACUACCGAGGUUUUUACGGGUGACGGGGGAUCAGGGUUCGAUUCCGGAGAGGGAGCCUGAGAAACGGCUACCACAUCCAAGGAAGGCAGCAGGCGCGCAAAUUACCCAAUCCAGACAGUGGGAGGUGGUGACGAAAAGUACCAAAUGACGGCCCAAGGGUUGUCAAUUUGGAAUGAUAUCAAUUUAAGUAAUUGGUUGAUAAACUACUGGAGGGCAAGUCUGGUGCCAGCAGCCGCGGUAAUUCCAGCUCCAGUAGCGUAUCUCAAAGUUGCUGCGCUUAAAACGCUCGUAGUUGGAUCACAAACUUGACGUUGGUGGAUAUAAUUGUCAUGUCAAUUUGAAAGAUAUGAUAGUAUGUCAUCAUAUUGUCGUAGAUUUGAUGUGAUGUGCGAUUAUAGCUGUGAGCCGAUGUGAAGUGAUUGCAUGUGAGGAUGGAUGUUGGCCUUGAAUGUGCUGAUAUUUGUGUCUCACAGAGUGUGCCUUGAGUAAAUCAGAGUGCUUAAAGCAGGCUUUACGCUUGAAUGUUGUAGCAUGGAACGAACAAUCGUGUAUGGUGUAUGUUGGGGAAGAAUUGUGACGCCGUUUGGAGUUGCAUUCACCAAUAUACGACACCGACCACCAAUUACGGAUGUUGGUUCCGUAUUGGGGUACCGAUUAAGAGGAGCGGUUGGGGGCAUUGGUAUUUGGCAGCGAGAGGUGAAAUUCUUAGACCUGUCAAGGACUAACAAAUGCGAAGGCAUCUGUCCAGACCGUAUCCAUUAAUCAAGAACGAUAGUGAGAGGUUCGAAGACGAUCAGAUACCGUCCUAGUUCUCACAGUAAACGAUGCCGACCCGGGAUCAGUUUGGAGCUUAUUAUCCACGCUCGAGGUUGGUCCCCCUGGGAAACCUAAAGUUUUUCGGUUGCGGGGGGAGUAUGGUCGCAAGGCUGAAACUUAAAGGAAUUGACGGAAGGGCACCACCAGGGGUGGAGCCUGCGGCUUAAUUUGACUCAACACGGGAAAACUUACUUGAUCAGAACACCCGAAGGAUGCACAGACUGAUAGAUCUUUGCUGAUGGGGUGAAAAGUGGUGCAUGGCCGUUCUUAGUUCGUGGAGUGAUCUGUCAGGCCUAUCCCGGUAACGAACGAGACUACAAUCUCCACUUGACGACCCAAAGAAUGUCGUGGGUAAAAGUGUAAUCGGCAACGGUUGCAAUUUCUACUUGUGAUAUGGCAAUACAGUCGGUAAAUUGAAUGGUUUUUAAUCAUUCAAUUUGCUUGUAUUCCCUUUGGUGUAGCAUUGUGUCAAUUUUUGGCGCAGUGUAUCGUGGAGAGACAGCGGAAUAUAUAUCAAAAUCCGAGGAAGUGUAGCUAUAACAGGUCCGUGAUGCCCUUAGAUGUUCAGGGCUGCACGCGCGCUACAAUGAUGGCAACAACGAGUUUCUGGAUCGAAAGAUUUGGGUAAUCUUGUAAUUGCCAUCGUGAUGGGGAUCGACGUUUGUAAAUACGUCGUGAAAGAGGAAUCCCUAGUACGUGCGAUUCAUGCAGAUCGCGCGGAUUGCGUCCCUGCCCUUUGUACACACCGCCCGUCGCUACUACCGAGUGAAUGGUGUCAUAAUACCUUGGGAGCGGACGUUGCCUGGGCCUCGUGCUUGGAGUGACGCUGCAAUCAGCGUAAAAUGGUGCAAUUUCGAGGAAGUAAAAGUCGUAACAAG
rnacentral:rRNA from 1 species